rnacentral:rRNA from 1 species
CGUGAAGCUGGAUUCGCUAGUAAUCGCGCAUCAGCCAUGGCGCGGUGAAUACGUUCCCGGGCCUUGUACACACCGCCCGUCAAGCCAUGGGAGCCGGGGGUGCUUGAAGUGCGUCGCCGCAAGGCGCGCCCUAGAGCAAAACCGGUGACUGGGGCUAAGUCGUAACAAGGUACC